AUGAUUUUCUGAUCUAGACGAGAAAAGAAGAAGAAAAAUCUGUUCGACCUGGUAUUGCAGUUUAAUAUCUGAUACGUCCUCUAUAUGAGGACUACAUAGUAAAUUGAUUUUUAGGACAGGGAGACGGAAGAGGGGCUUGCUCCGUCCGCUCCACGCUUGAAGUACUCCUU
rnacentral:snRNA from 1 species